rnacentral:lncRNA from 1 species
CUGGCAUCGGCAUCGGCAUCGGCACUGGCAUCGGCUUACACCUCAGCUUGAGGCGUGGGCUGUGCAGUUUGAACUAGCCAAAUCUUGGCUAAUUAAUCAAAAUAAUAAUCAAGCAAUCAGUGGAUCAUAUGGCCAGACACUAGACACAAGCACAAACCUCAAGUUCGAGUCGAGUCGAGUCGCGUCGAACGCUCUUUACACCACGACGCACGCCAAAGUGGAAGCGCCCCGAAACAUCGAUAGGGAUGGCCAUAGAUCGUGAGUCAAGCUGAUAGUUAUAUCGUUAAAGCAAACAUCGACAGCGAUCCGUGUAGCGGCUCCUCGCUAGGUUUUGUUUCGAACUUCAGGUGCUUGUAUGAUUCGAACACUAUUCAGCCAGCCAUUCAUUCAUUGGGACAUGCAACUUGUUUUGUUCUCUCACCGCAGAACACAUGGAGCCCCCC